GCAGCCGCUCGCUCCCGCCUAGUGGCGCAGUCGGAGACCACUCCGAGUUAGCCCGGGCGCCCCGCCCACGGCGGCCGCCUCCAUUGGCCACUUGCCGGCCCGCGGACGGUGACGUAAGCGCGGGGCUGCAGCAGCCUGAGCCGGCCGCUAGGGGGAAACGGGCAUCUGAGGAUUGGAGCAUCUCUCGAAACAUGUCCUCCUUAGUCACUUCCUCAUCUGGUGGGGGCCCUGCGCCAUUGUGUAAGGGGUUCCCUCGAAGACCACAUCUGCAGAUGCACAAGAAGCAAGCGGAAGCAUGAUUGUUAGUGCACGCACAGCAUUAAAUAAUUAUCCUAAAAUACAUCUCUUUUUAAAUACAAA